rnacentral:sRNA from 1 species
UUGCUUUCUACGUUAAUAUUUGUAGAGAAACAGUCAUAAUUAAUUAGUUCCGAAUUUUUCAAAAUGACUCUUAAUAUCGAUGAACAGACAGUUGUUCAGUAUUUACGCGAAACUCUGGCGCCAGUUCCAUUUGACGAUCUGCUGACAGAGUUUAGCGGUGCGCAACCCGAUGAAGCAACUCGCAAGCAAACCAAAGCUCAGCUGCAAAAAGUCCUUAUUAAAUCGAUCAACUUUGGGUUAAUAAUGCAUUGCAACAAUCACUUCUACUCAGCAACGCAUGCUGAAGAUCUCCAAGAAAUGCUUGAAAAUGAAUCAGACGCAGUUGAAGAUAUGGACAAAGUGGAGACCGAAGAAAGAACUUCAUCUAGCAGCGUAGAAAAGUAGAUAAAGCUUUGGCCAAAAAGGGCAAGAAUGCUUAUCAAUAUAUUGAAUUCUUGCGGUUGUUUUUUAACGAUUGUUCGUGAUACUUCUGAGGCAACGGAGCUGAUUCUGAAAAUAUGUAUAUAAAUUGGCAUAGUUAUGUAAAAUUUUUUAUCUAGUAUUCCAAAGAAAAUUUCAGACAAAUUUCAAUGCAAAA